GCCAGGCGUGGUGGUGGGCACCUGUAAUCCCAGCUACUUGGGAGGCUGAGGCAGAAGGAUCACUUGAGCCCGGGAGGUAGAGGUUGCAGUGAGCCAAGAUAGCACCACUGCACUCCAGCCUGGGCGACAGAGUGAGAUCCUGUCUCUA
rnacentral:sRNA from 1 species